CCCUCCCCGGCCAUUUCCCUCCGCCGGACUUCUCCUUCUCCACUCGCGGGAUCCCGGGGCGCCGAGGCGGGCAGAGCCGGGCCGCAGAGCGCCUGUCACCACCGCCCUCUCCUGGGCCGCUCUGAACCCCGGAGGAGGGAGGGGAUAGCUCACCUUAGAGUAGCGCUGUCAAUAUUUCACCUUAGCUGGGGACUCAUUCGUUCGCAGAUUUGUGGUACACUUGUUUUCUUGUUGACACACAUUAUACAUGUCAUUAUUGGAGUCUUUGAGUCUGCUCCGCCACCAACUUAGUGGGAGCAUCUGUUUCGGCUUAGGCAGUAAAAUUAGCUGGAGGUUUGUCCUUGGAAAAAAAAAGUAUUCUAGCCAAAAAUAUGUCUAUUUUGUUAUUAGGCAUUUAUACUAUCUAUUUUAUUUAUUUAUUUUUACCAAAAAACCCUCAUUAUUUGCUUUAAGCGAGUCAAGCAGUCCCCAAUGCUUUUACAACGGAAAGCAAAACUUUCAGACUUAUCUCACGUGCUGUAAGCGGGAAGUUACGGUACUGUGUUCAGCAGUCCACACCAGCCAGUGAUCUGUUCAGUAAUUGAGUAAUUUUUUUUUUUAAGAAACCAAAAUGAGGGCCGGGCGCGGUGGCUCACGCCUGUAAUCCCAGCACUUUGGGAGCCCGAGGCGAGUGGAUCACGAGGUCAAGAGAUCGAGAUCAUCCUGGUCAACAUGGUGAAACCCCGUCUCUACUAAAAAUACAAAAAAUUAGCUGGACAUGGUGGCGCGUGCCUGUAAUCCCAGCUACUCAGGAGGCUGAGGCAGGAGAACUGCCUGAACCCAGGAGGUGGAGGUUGCGGUGAGCCGAGAUCGCGCCAUUGCACUCCAGCCUGGGUAACAACAGCGAAACUCCGCUCAAAAAAAAAAAAAAAAAAAAAAAAAAGAAAGAAAGAAACCAAAAUGAAUGUUUCUAAAAGAAACAAAAUUUAAAUAGAAUAGUUUUCUAUAGCUCCUCGUUUUUUAGUUAUAAUUGGAGGAAUGUUUAGACACAAGGACCUUGUAAGGUCUAAAAUGUUUUAGAUUUCUCUAAAAUAAAUCUUCAUCCCUUCCAUAAGCCUUUGUUGAGCCCUCAUUCUGGACUAGGCCUUGGGGUUAUGUUGCCAUGCACAAGGAGACAUGGUCCCUGCUUCUGCUGGGGCUUCCAACUUAGUGGGGAGAAGCAUCUGUGAAAUAUUCGUAUGUUGAGAGGUAAACCUACAACUGUAGACGGUAGUGAUUUGGGAUUUAGAGUACGUUUGCACAGUGGAGGAGAGCAGUUAGGGUGGCAGCUUUUUUUGGCGGGGGGAAUGGAGUCUUGCACUGUGGCUUGGGCUGGAGUGCAAUGGCCGAUCUUGGCUCACUGCAACCUCUGCCUCCUGGGUUCACGCAAUUCUCCUGCCUCAGCCUCCCAGGUUGCUGGGAUUACAGGUGCACACUACCACACCCGGCUAAUUUUUUGUGUUUUUAGUAGAGACGGGGGUUUCACUAUGUUGACCAGACUAGUCUGAAACUCCUGACCUCGUGAUCCACCCGCAUUGGCCUCCCAAAGUGCUGGGAUUACAGGCAUGAGCUACUGCACCCAGCCAGGGUGGCAACUUUUCAUCUGCCACUUACUAUGAAAGCUUAGGGGAGCUCUUGGUAUCACUUGAGUAUAAAGAGAGUUAUUUCAUUGUUCAGUCAGUUGAGUGUAGAUUUUCAUGUAAAGAUCUUUUUCUCUUUCCUCCUUUUAAAAGCAUUUGAGACUAGGAGCUCUCAUUGGACUUUGAGCUGCUUGAGACAGGGACUAUGUCUGAUUCAUCUUUCUGUGUCCAGUUCUUAGCAUGUGCGCAGCACAGAGUAGGCACUCAGAGUGCCUUAAGAGAAGGAAUAAAUGACCAUACCACCAGGCACAGAGGGAGGCCUUAAGAAACCCUAAGCAUCAUAGGGUGCACCCACCACUUCUGUAUGUGACUCAAAAUGGGGGUUUCACUGUGUUGCAGAGACUCGUGCUGAACUCCUAAGCCCAAGCAGUCUUGCCUCGACCUCCCGAGUACUUCGGACUACAGACAUGUGCCACCACACCCAGCUUGCACCUCUUUUUAAGAACAGGAGAUACUUUGUUCCACCACAUUGAAAAAUUAUGAAUAUGUAAUUUGAAGAAACAAGCCUAAAGUUGGCACACUAAUUUUUUUUUUUUUUUUUGCUUCUCAAAUAGAUAAAUGCCUAUUGUAUGUUAUGAGGAAAUCUGAUGAAAAGCCCUUAUUUAGACAUACGAUUUCCUGAGAAGUCAUUAUAUACUAAAGCCAGUUUGGAUGGUAUUUACAGGAUUAAGAGGAAAUAGGGAUCAUUGUUAAUUUGUAGUUUUAAAAAAAUGUGUAAUUUAUCAUUCUAAGAGCAGCCUCAGAUGUUGGCACAUCUCUGAAAUGCUGGAGAUAAAGAGCAAUCGUGUGUGUGUGUGUGUGUGUGUGUGUGUGUGUUUUAAAACAUUAAAAAAACUAAGCUGAAAAGGAAUUCCAGUGUUAAUUCAUUAAUUUUUAGAAAAACAAGUACAAAAAUCCUUUUUCAAAAACACAGCUUUGUAUUUUAAUAAUAAUACCUCCAUCUGUCUCAGCAUUUUGUAAAAACUGUGUGAACAGAAAACUUUGAUAAGUAGUUUAUAUCAGAAACUACCGUGAAAUGUGUACACACCUGUGCCAAUAGCAGUUUUAGCGAAAGUGUAUUUCAUUCCUCUCCUAAAGGAAGGCCUAAGCUGCCCCUUUGUCCCUUGGGAGGAAUUUGCAGCUAUCUUCAUACAGAAAGGUCCCUUUUCACUGAUAACUCUCUAUCUUAUCACUUUGGCCAGAAGGAAUCUUAAAAGAUGCAGGUGCUUCAGGAGAAGGGAUGUGGACUGAUGGGAUAAGUGGCACUUCAUCAGAACCCUCUGGCUGUGCCUGGCAGAUAGAGGAGGCUCUGACCUCAGUGAGUUAGGGGUGGGGUUUCAGGAGCAACUGUGGGCCCCUAGGGUACUAUGAGAUUAGGGCAAAGCUGCCUCCUGGAGUUUCUUUGUAUGGGACGUUGCAGGGGUGGGGCAGCAUUCCUUCCCCACACCUCGUGGACAGGCUCCUCAUUAGACGGUGGACUGUACACAUCUAUCCCCUCCGUUGCAGUGUGUGCAGUUGGUGCAUGUGUGGGGGACUCAGAAGCGCUCCUCUCACUUCGAUUACUGACAAGGGGUUGGUGUGUGGUUUGAGAUCAGGACUACUCUGUGAACCUGAAACCUGCUGACAGCUUUAGCUGAGUUUAUAGUUAUAUUUAUGAAGAUGGACCAUGAGUGGCCACAGUGAAUAUAGUGAGAACAGCAGUGGGUAUGGUGGACGAGGAGGCCAGAGUAGCUGCUUCCUGAAUCCCGGUCAGGACGGAGAUCCCACACUCGGGGCCAGGGAGGAUGAACCUUUGAAAUUGGAACUGCCCCCGGCAGCCAGGAAUGUGCAUGUACUAUGGAAAUACCUUGUUUCAGAGGAAAUGUGAGCACUCUGUAGCUGUGCUACAGAGAAAAAUGUAAAAUAUGUUAGAGAAAAUAUACGUUUAGAGAACAUGUAUAUAUUUCUCUAAAAUAUAUGUUUAGAGAAAAAAAUGUAAAAUAUGUUACUAGCUUCUUGUGCUGAUCAUAUGUGUAUAAUAUUUUAGAUACAUUGGGUCAAGUAAAAUGUUAUUAAAAUUAAUUUUACCUAUUCCUUUUUUAAUGUAGCAACUAGAGAAGUUUAAAUUACCUAGGUGGCUCCCAUCAUGUCUGUUAGAGUCCAUGGCGAGCCCCACUGGUUCAUGGGGCAGGUACCCCAACUCUGUUUUUUUUUAAUUUUGUCUUUGGGGUACCCCUAGCUUUAGAGCAUGCUGAUAGCAUAGGCAGAGUCUGAUAUUGCACAAGACACGUGGGGGCUUGGAUAUUUGUUCUCCAGAUUUCCAGAACCUAGAGUCUCUGGCUUCUUCCUCUACUCGAUUCUCAUCUAUCAGGCCCUCAUGUCCUCACUUCUCUGUCCAGAUGAGUCCCUUCACUCAGCCUCCAUGUCCCACACACCGUCGACUCCUGUGUUCUCCAUCACACCACCUACAUUCGUGGAAAUGUGUCCCAGACUCCAGCAAACCCAACAUGUCUAAAAACCAAAGUUACCUUUCUCCGCAGAGCAUCUUUCCUCUUCUGUCUCUUAGCUCAAUGAGAGAGACUGCAGUGUGAACCUUUUGACACUGGUCAGUAAUAAAGAUGAUAGUGAAUAUUUCUUGUGUACUCAGCACUGGGCAUUGUACCAGAUGCUUUGCACAUGGUUUACUGAUAAUUCCAUGAGGGAGGGAUUGUUUUCAUUACCAUUUUACAGAUGAAGAAACUGGGCACAGAGAGAUGGAGUGACUCGUGCAAGGUCAAACAGCCAGAUGGCAGGGCAUAAAGGGAAGGUUUAAGAUGGUGAAUGCCUAACCUAGGAGGGCCAGUUCUGAGGUUGAGUUCGUCAGCUAACCCUCAUCUUAUACUAAUUUUUCAGAGAGGAAAAAUGCUCACAUCUAACCAGUCAUCACAUCCUAGUUCUUAAAAAUAUCUCCAAUCCUUCUCAUUGUCCUCUAUCCAUCUGCUACCAACCUACUUCACCCAGGGCACUAGAACAGCGCUCUGUCGGCCUCUCCUUUCACUCUGUAGCAGAGUGGAUCAUUUAAAAAUGCAAAAAUGACUAUAUCAUUCCCCAGUAUAAAGCCCUUUUAGGCCCGCCUUGCCACAAAAUCCUCCUGUUUUAUAAUCUAGAGCCUUCAUUUCAUUUCUCAGUUCUCCUUCCUGUGGAUCCAUGAGGUCUCUGCCCCUGCUCCAUCUUGCCAGGCUUUCUGUUCCCUUCCCUGACUCCCAAGUGAGGCCUGUCUGCUUCCUCUGUUAAGGAUGUGGGAAGAUGUGGAAGACAGGCCUUCCACAGAAUGUUGUUCUGCGUUGUGUGAACUGGUAGACCUUGCGUAGGCUUCUCUCUGUGCUUGAGAUUCCUCUCUGAAAAAUGAGGAUAAGAAGAGUGUGAAAGGAAGGAUUUAGGAUGAUGAAUGCCAAAUUCUUCGGCUACUGGUGAGGACUCUGGAAGUGCUGCCUUUUGAGUCCUUGAAUGACAGUGGGGAUAGCCGUAGCUGCCUUUACAACCAGAUGGUUGCUAUGUUCAGCAGUGGGCAGGUGGUAGGCACGGUGUACAGCUUCCUCCACCCACCCCCACCCUCUGU